AUAAUACUCCAUAGAUUAGAGACACUGGAAUGUUCUUUAGUCGAAAGUUCUGGCGCCUUAGGAUGGAUCUGCGGUCGAUUAGGUUGUUGUUGGGGUAACGGCCCAACAAGCCUGUAAUCGAUACGGGUUGUGGGAGCAAUAGCCCGGAGAUGGAAUCUGAGACAAGAUUCCAGGCCCUACGGGGCGCAGCAGGCGCGAAAACUUUACAAUGCAGGAAACUGUGAUAAGGGAACCCCGAGUGCCCGUAUACGCGGGCUGUCCAGGUGUUUAAAAGUCAUCUGAAGAAAGGGCCGGGCAAGACCGGUGCCAGCCGCCGCGGUAAUACCGGCGGCUCGAGUGGUGGCCACUAUUAUUGGGCUUAAAGCGUCCGUAGCUGGACUGAUAAGUCUCUUGGGAAAUCCGCCGGCUCAACCGGCGGGCGUCUAAGGGAUACUGUUAGUCUAGGGACCGGGAGAGGUGAGAGGUACUCCGGGGGUAGGAGUGAAAUCCUGUAAUCCCCGGGGGACCACCGAUGGCGAAGGCAUCUCACCAGAACGGCUCCGACAGUGAGGGACGAAAGCUGGGGGAGCGAACCGGAUUAGAUACCCGGGUAGUCCCAGCCGUAAACUAUGCGCGUUAGGUGU
rnacentral:rRNA from 1 species